rnacentral:lncRNA from 1 species
CCAUGUCCUCAGCACAUGGCAUAAACUCAGGGAUUGGCAGCAUCAUAAGAACCUAUGGAGUGAGCAAUGUCUUACUUCAGAAGCUGAUGACCAAUGGAAAGCAAGGACCAAGAUGACACAGGAGCCAACUGUUAGCAGCACGAAGUGCUUUCCAGUCCCCACAGUUUGCAUUUGGCUGUGUGGUCCCAGUGUUUACAUAUGCAAGUGCCCCUUGCUUGGAAAGACUGUGUCCUACUUGGUAGAGUCCUUAGCUCAUUCCACUUCCUUCUAGACUCAAGACUCCGGAAAGGGCCAUUGCAGGACACUGAAGAUGUGGGGGUGGGGCAUCGGAUCACCUCUACAGAUACCCUCUGGGGUUGCAACAAUGUACAGCAAGAGUCACAUGUCCAGACGCCUACAGAGUCCAGGCAGCCUGUUUGUGCAUGAAACAUUUAAGGAGGUGGAGUCAGGCAUGACAGCAUGGAAGGAGUCCAACCACCACCAUCCAAGGCUGACCAGAAACCACUUUAAGCCUCUUCCAUCCUGCUACGGUUUUACACCUCCCUAAAGAUAUAUAAUCAUGGGUUAAUAAGGCCCAGUAACCAUGGCUACACCCCAUAAUUCCCAACAUUCUUAUUUAUCCCUCCUCUUGACAAGCAGCCACCACUCUUCUCAAGCCUUGUCCCUGGCAGAUAGCCACAAUUCCUUUUCACUGAACUCUCCCCCUUGAAAGCCCCAUUUUGACCUUUUCUUUUCACAGCCCCCCCUUUAUGCUCAUGGCCCUAUAAAAGACCUCAGAGCCUGUGCGAGAGUUAUUGGUCUGGUCUAAGUGCCAGGGCAGUUCCUG